rnacentral:lncRNA from 1 species
GGAUUUUAUCUUUAUAUCACAGCAGAAGCGAUGAGCUCUAGCCACGUGCCCACUCCACCCGAACCUGGCACUGCCCAGCGAGCAAGCUGGCUGCUCCCAGUGCUUUCCUGGGGACCCUGUGUGAAUGUCAGUGGGCUAUGCACCUCUCCGACCCCUGGCAGACACCUAUCAGCUCAGCCACAGAUGACUGUGAAAAUGCCAUUCUUAGAUAUAAUUGGAAACCUUCAGGGCAGCAAGUUUGGCGCUAAAAGUCACAAAGAAUGUUCUGAGUCCAAGGGAAGGGAGAAGCAGCAUUCACAAGCAAAAGGGUGAACGCUCAGGUGAAAGAGCUUCCCUCUGUUGUGAUUGCCAGCCAGUCCCUACAUCUUUAGCAGCCCUGAUGACCAGCCCCAAAUAAUUUUAUUGAUCCCAUCAGCAGCCCUGGCCUCAAUGUUCAGUUUGGGGGUAAAGAGAGUGACCAUCCAGACGACCAUUGGUUCUUGGGAAUGUAUCCUCGAGCAGCCUAGCUGGAGAGGAGAGUCUGCUGUAGAGAAGCGAGCACAGUGGAAGCCCAUUAACAAUGAGAAAUCCAACCACACACCUUGUCGUGGGGGCGUCGCAGAGUUCCCGCAAGCAUUCACUCCCAGGGCCCUGAAAAGUGCACACCCCCCUUUCGGAAUGCAAGAGAAGGCUGCACCGCUGUUGUGCUGCAUCACUCCUGAUCGAUGGUAACAGAUGGAACACUUGGCAAGAACGGGCACAGCUGUGGUGAGGCCAGGACAAAAGAAGAAAUACGUCGUUACAUUCCAAGUAAGCGCUUGUAAUUAUCUGCUUCUUUUUAAUAUGGGAGAUGUCAUUGUAUCUGUCUUCUAAAUACUGAAGACAAAGCACAUUUAUUUGCAUCUAGCCCUUCAAGAGGUUAUCCAUCCUAUGCAAAAAGACACCCAUCGUCCCAAAGUCCUAUUCUUAUUUGUGUAUUAAUAUCAUUACGAUGUGCCUGGUUUCUAAAAAGUAUGGUCAAAAUUUUCUCUAUUGGAGCCAUUUCUUUUUUCUGAAGCUGUUACGCCAUGGAUGAAACAAAAAUAGAACUUUGAAAGAAGCUGUUAUUUUUCCAGAUAAGUUCCUUUUUUUUUUCUCUUUUAUUUGACAUUAUUAUUCCUAUCACAAAGGAGGAUAGGGGGGGAAAAAAAUCAGAAAACCGUGAUUGUUAAGCCUACCCCUGCCAUACAAUACCGAAGGAAAUUCAUUUAACUUCUCUGAGAUGCAUUUUGCAAAGAAAAAAGAAUAGCACUGGUUUCUUUACAUAUUUAGUUUGAG